rnacentral:rRNA from 1 species
AAUCUGGGGCCCCCAGGCCUCCGAGUUGUAAUUUGGAGAGGCAUCUUCGGGGAGGGGGCGCGGGCCCAUGUUCCUUGGAACAGGACGUCGCAGAGGGUGAGAAUCCCGUGCCAGGCCGGCUGCCUCCGCCCCAGUGAAGGGCCUUCGACGAGUCGAGUUGUUUGGGAAUGCAGCUCCAAGUGGGUGGUAAAUUUCAUCUAAAGCUAAAUACCGGCGGGAGACCGAUAGCGCACAAGUAGAGUGAUCGAAAGAUGAAAAGCACUUUGAAAAUAGAGUCAAAAAGUACGUGAAAUUGUUGAAAGGGAAGCGCUUGAGACCAGACUCGGACCCGGGCAAACAUCGCGCCCCCCGGGGCCGUGCAAUUGCCUGGGGCCGGGCCAGCAUCGGUUGGCGUGGCGGGACAAAGGCGCGGGGAAUGUGGCUCCCCUCGGGGAGUGUUAUUAGGCCCGCGCCCAAUGCCGCCUACGCCGACUGAGGACCGCGCCGCCCGGCUAGGAUGCUGGCUUAAUGGCCUUCAGCGACCCGUCUUGAAACACGGACCAAGGAGUCUAACAUCUAUGCGAGUGUUUGGGCUUGAAACCCUUGCGCGGAAUGAAAGUGAGCGGAGGUGGGAACCCCCCCGCGGGGCGCACCAUCGACCGAUCCUGAUGUCUUCGGAUGGAUUUGAGUA